ACGGCGUCCCAGUUCGGAUUGCAGCCUGCAACUCGGCUGCAUGAAGCUGGAAUCGCUAGUAAUCGCGGAUCAGAAUGCCGCGGUGAAUACGUUCCCGGGUCUUGUACACACCGCCCGUCACACCAUGGGAGUCGGGAAUGCCCGAAGUCAGUGACCCAACCAUAUGGAGGGAGCUGCCGAAGGUGGAGCCGAUAACUGGGGUGAAGUCGUAACAAGGUACC
rnacentral:rRNA from 1 species